GACGAACGCUGGCGGCGUGCCUAAUACAUGCAAGUCGACCUUAGUUGCGAACGGGUGAGUAACACGUGGGUAACCUGCCCAUCAGAAGGGGAUAACACUUGGAAACAGGUGCUAAUACCGUAUACUGAUGGAUGGACCCGCGGUGCAUUAGCUAGUUGGUGAGGUAACGGCUGACCAAGGCCACGAUGCAUAGCCGAGCUGAGAGGGUGAUCGGCCACAUUGGGACUGAGACACGGCCCAAACUCCUACGGGAGGCAGCAGGAGGGAAUCUUCGGCAAUGGACGAAAGUCUGACCGAGAAACGCCGCGUGAGUGAAGAAGGUUUUCGGAUCGGAAAACUCUGUUGUUAGAGAAGCGGUAUCUAACCAGAAAGCCACGGCUAACUACGUGACAGCAGCCGCGGUAAUUC
rnacentral:rRNA from 1 species